GGCGCCCCUCCACCAGCCUCGCUGCCGCCUUGCAGUUUGAUUUCAGACUGCUGUGCUAGCAAUCAGCGAGACUCCGUGGGCGUAGGACCCUCUGAGCCACGUGCGGGAUAUAAUCUCGUGGUGCGCCGUUUUUUAAGCCGGUCCAAAAAGCGCAAUAUUCGGGGGGGAGUGAGCUGAUUUUCCAGGUGCGUCCGUCACCCCUUUCUUUGACUUGGAAAGGGAACUCCCUGACCCCUUGUGCUUCCCGAGUGAGGCAAUGCCUCGCCCUGCUUCGGCUCGCGCGCGGUGCAUGCACCCACUGACCUGCGCCCACUGUCUGGCACUCCCUAGUGAGAUGAACCCGGUACCUCAGAUGGAAAUGCAGAAAUCACCCGUCUUCUGCGUCGCUCACGCUGGGAGCUGUAGACCGGAGCUGUUCCUAUUUGGCCAUCUUGGCUCCUCUCUAACUCUUUUUAAUUCUGUGAAGUGUGAGAGAGGUGGAGAAGCUGCAGAAAAAAGGUUUGAAGCUAGUAGAGAUUGGUUCUUGAAGCUUGCGGAAAGAAGCCAUCUCCAUAACGUAAAAGUUCAAGAUGAUGCAGCAAGUACAAUGUAAAAGCUACAGCAUUCUCCAAAAGAUCUAGCUGAGGUCAUUAGUGAAGGUGGCUACACUGAAUGACAGAUUUUCAAUGUAGAUGAAACAGCCUUCUAUUGGAAGAAGAUGCCGUCUAGGACUUUCAUAGCUAGAAAGGAGAAGUCAAUGCCUGGCUUCAAAGAACAGGCUGACUCUUGUUAGUGGCUAAUGUAGCUGGUAACUUUAAGUUGAAGCCAAUGCUCAUUUACUAUUCUGAAAAUCCUAGGAUCCUUAAGAAUUAUGCAAUAUUUACUCUGCUCAUGCUCUGUAAAUGGAAGAACGAAGCCCAGAUGACCACACAUUUGUUUACAGCAUGAUUUACUGAAUAUUUUAAGCUUGUUGUUGAGACCUACUCUCAGAAAAAAGAUUUUUUGUUUUCAAAAGAUUACUGCUCAUUGACAAAUUCACCUGGUCACUCAAGAACUCUGAUGGAGAUGUACAGUAGGAUUUCCAGCUCCUAGAAGACAGAAAUCAUGUUGUUCAUCUUUUGCAUCCUUCCCAGAAUCUAGUGGAGCACUGAGCAUCAUGGGUACUCAGGACUUUGAAUGCAUAGGCUCAGUUCUGCUGUGCACUUUCUACACAAAUCCUGACCAAGCCUGAGAUAGGGGAAGACUCUGUUGUUCAAACCUGUAGCCACUGGAUCACAUCAUGUUCAGACAGAGCUCACUGAAAUCAUAGCACAGGCCCU
rnacentral:lncRNA from 10 species